CCUACGGGUGGCAGCAGUGAGGAAUAUUGGUCAAUGGACGAGAGUCUGAACCAGCCCAGUAGCGUGAAGGAUGACUGCCCUAUGGGUUGUAAACUUCUUUUAUAUGGGAAUAAAACGUUCCACGUGUGGGAUUUUGUAUGUACCAUAUGAAUAAGGAUCGGCUAACUCCGUGCCAGCAGCCGCGGUAAUACGGAGGAUCCGAGCGUUAUCCGGAUUUAUUGGGUUUAAAGGGAGCGUAGGUGGAUUGUUAAGUCAGUUGUGAAAGUUUGCGGCUCAACCGUAAAAUUGCAGUUGAAACUGGCAGUCUUGAGUACAGUAGAGGUGGGCGGAAUUCGUGGUGUAGCGGUGAAAUGCUUAGAUAUCACGAAGAACUCCGAUUGCGAAGGCAGUUCACUGGACUGCAACUGACACUGAGGCUCGAAAGUGUGGGUAUCAAACAGGAUUAGAUACCCCAGUAGUC
rnacentral:rRNA from 1 species